GACGUUACUCGCAGAAUAAGCACCGGCUAACUCUGUGCCAGCAGCCGCGGUAAUACAGAGGGUGCGGAGCGUUAAUCGGAUUUACUGGGCGUAAAGCGUGCGUAGGCGGUUUAUUAAGUCGGAUGUGAAAUCCCCGAGCUCAACUUGGGAAUUGCAUUCGAUACUGGUGAGCUAGAGUAUGGUAGAGGAUGGUAGAAUUCCAGGUGUAGCGGUGAAAUGCGUAGAGAUCUGGAGGAAUACCGAUGGCGAAGGCAGCCAUCUGGCCUAAGACUGACGCUGAGGUACGAAAGCAUGGGGAGCAAACAGGAUUAGAUACCCUGGUAGUCCAUGCCGUAAACGAUGUCUACUAGCAGUUGGUGCCUUUGAGGCUUGAGUGGCGCAGCUAACGCGAUAAGUAGACCGCCUGGGGAGUACGGUCGCAAGAUUAAAACUCAAAUGAAUUGACGGGGGCCCGCACAAGCGGUGGAGCAUGUGGUUUAAUUCGAUGCAACGCGAAGAACCUUACCUGGCCUUGACAUACUAGAAACUUUCCAGAGAUGGAUUGGUGCCUUCGGGAAUUUAGAUACAGGUGCUGCAUGGCUGUCGUCAGCUCGUGUCGUGAGAUGUUGGGUUAAGUCCCGCAACGAGCGCAACCCUUUUCCUUACUUGCCAGCAUUUCGGAUGGGAACUUAAAGGAGACUGCCAGUGACAAACUGGAGGAAGGCGGGGACGACGUCAAGUCAUCAUGGCCCUUACGGCCAGGGCUACACACGUGCUACAAUGGUCGGUACAAAGG
rnacentral:rRNA from 1 species